UAUAAGGAUUUCAAAGAAGACAUGCCAGAUGAGGCCAUUGGUCAGACCAUUGAUGGUGCUUCAAGUCUUGCGAAGGUGGAAUCGCGCUUUCUUACUGUUGGUCCAAGGCGGCUAUUACACGAAAAAGGAGAGAAGGAUGGUUGAGAUCCUGCAGUCGCACUUCAGAGCAGAGGCUUUGAGAUUCCUGGUCAUUCUCUCUGUGGAAAACGGGAAAGUCACCGUCUCUUUGAGAAAUCAAAGAGACGGUGUGUGGAGGACUCGGCCAUGAACACGCUAAAGCAGAAGGCGCAAGAGGCGGAGGAGAAAGAACAGGUUUUUAUGGAGAAGGUGAGAAAAGAGGAGGAGAGAAGAACCAAGGAAAUGGAGGACCUGAAGAUAAGACAUGCAGAGGAAAGAAGGAAGGAGGCAGAGGGAAAAAAACCCCAACAUGAAACGGACAGAGAGAAUAUUCAGCAGGCAAUGAUGAGCCACAGCUCCAUGCUGCAGCUGCAGGCAAAACCGCCUGAUGAGUGAACAACGACGAAUCAACCGGUUAAAGACCUCCGAAGUGGCAGGCGGCCACGAGUUUUCACGGCAUUUAAUAAAGAGCCCGUCUAAAGAAAGCCGUGCCAGUGUUGUCACUUUGGAGCUACAAAGUGAGCUAUUAUUGUUACAGGUACAUUUUCCAAGCUACAGAAGAGGAGUUACGAGGGAUGCAGUCAUUUGAAAG